UUCAGGGGUAAACCUGAGAAACCCGAAAGGUCGACGGGGAAAUUCAUUCGCGUUUCGCGCAGUCGACGCCCGGGUGGCAGUGUGACGGACAGGCCCUCGGGCCAAGUACGCGCCUGUCUGCUCGGCGUUCGGCCGCGAACGCGUGCACUUUUCCCCUUGUCGGACGUCGCGAUCCGUUGGGUGUCGGUCGAAGGCCCGUGGUGGAGCCUCGUGCGGGACGCGUUUUCGCGUUCGCGUGCGAGACCCGCGGUGUUUCCUGACCGGCUCGCCCGACGGUAUGCCAAUGGCGCGGGGCCGCGAUUCAAUUCGCGUUCGGCCCGGAGCAAGUUCGUGUCGUUCAUGGUGCGGUGAUCGGACCUAGUGCCGAUCUCGCCGUCGACCGACUGUUCGCUCCGGCGUUCUCGAACAGACCCUGUGAAACGCCGAUCGGCGACGCUAUAGCUUUGGGUACUUUCAGGACCCGUCUUGAAACACGGACCAAGGAGUCUAGCAUGUGCGCGAGUCAUUGGGACAAUGCAAAACCUAAAGGCGUAAUGAAAGUAAAGGUCGGCCUUGCGUCGACCUAGGGAAGAUGGGCGGCUUUGUGCCGUUAAAAGCGGCCGUCCCGCAUUCCCGGGGCGUCUCGUUCUCAUUGCGAGAAGAGGCGCACCAAGAGCGUACACGCUGGGACCCGAAAGAUGGUGAACUAUGCCUGGUCAGGACGAAGUCAGGGGAAACC
rnacentral:rRNA from 1 species